CAGAAAUGCGGGCUGAGAUGUUUAUAAAAGAUACUCCUUAGUUGUAAAUAAUACCAGUGAAAUAUGAACACAAUGUCUCCCAACAGGAAAGUGGUUUAAAUUGUUGCACACCUCUAAAAUAGAAUAGUAUAAAGAUAUUAACAUUUUUAAAUAAUUUUAGUUGCAAGGAAAAACACCUAUGAGAUCGUGUUAAAUGAAAAACUGCUAUUGCAAAAUGGCAUAUAGUGUAAGAUUUUCAACGUUCAAACAAAUGCCUAGGGGGAGAAAAAAGGAACUGGAAAGUAAUGUCAACGGUGAUUGGCAGCAGGGACAACAAUGACACUACUUCAAAAAAUUUUUUUUUAAUUUUAUACAAGAGGCACUCAUUUUUUAGCCAGGAAAAAUAAUUGAGAAAGGCCUCUGUUUUUUUUAUACUAGUCUUCCAUUUGUUUGCUAGAUAUUUUUAUUCAAAUUAUUUGAUUAAAAUUGAAUAUAUUCAAGGUGUAUGAUGGGACAAAUUAAUCCACUCAUCUAUCUCCACCCAUGCUAUUUACAUCAGAUCCCCAGGACUUGUUCAUUUUAUAACUGAAGGUAGUUUGGGUUUGUUAUUUGUUCAUUUGUUCUUUGAUAGUGGGAAUCCAGGAGUGCUGUACCACUGAGCUACACAUCUAACCCUCUUUGUUUUGAGACAAGGUGUCACUAGGCUGCUGAGUCUGGCCUCCAACUUGUGAUCCUCCUGCCUUAGCUUCCCAGGUUGCAAAGAUUACAAACUGUUUCAUAACCAGGCUUAUUGCUUCAGGAAUCCUGGAGCAAAUGGGUAUGCUCAGUGGUGCAGGCUGUUCCUGCCAUCCCCCACAGAGCAGGGUGGCAUUAUCAUUAGGUUGUGAAUGCCUUGGCACCGAUGAGAAAGUGCCUGUAAGGAGGUCUUGCUGAGGGCAUGUAUGCUGCAUUUAUACUGGUGGCCAUUCCUCUACUACAGAGUAUGUGGUGGGAAACCUUUUGAUCCAGCAACCUUCCCUGCCUCUUGCCCUUCCGCCUGCCCUCUGAUACAGGCAGCCGCAGGGACAUUCACAUGUCCUGCAAUAGGAAAGUGAUGACAUGGCAAAAUGCAGUAAAAGGAAUCAAGUUUUCACUUCUGUUACAAAACAGGCCUCUGGAAACACGGCGGAGACUGUAGUGUGGAGGGGGGCAAGUUCUCUGGGUUUCAAAGCCUGGCUUUUGAGUUGAAGAAGCCUCGGGCCUGAAGAACUCAGGGCAUACGGUUUAGGCAUAAAUAAUAGAUUUGGAAGAAUACGUGAUCCGUCUGAGCCAGGUCGCUCUGCCCCAGGCUAGAUAAAGUUGUUCUGGACCAAGGCAAUGGAGAAGCAGAGAAGGAAGAAAAGGGCCUAAAUUGUGGCUCCCCAAGGCAGGGGCAGGGACAGGAGCCCUGGAGGGCAGACAGGAGCAAGGUCCCUGGCACUGCAGUGGUGCCCCAGCAGCUCCCUGGGGAGGGCUGUGUGGCCUGGCCCACCCUUC
rnacentral:lncRNA from 1 species